rnacentral:rRNA from 1 species
CAGUCGCCGCGGUAAUGCGGAGGGAGCUAGCGUUGUUCGGAAUCACUGGGCGUAAAGCGCACGUAGGCGGCUAUUCAAGUCAGGGGUGAAAGCCCGGGGCUCAACCCCGGAACUGCCUUUGAAACUAGAUAGCUUGAAUCUUGGAGAGGCGAGUGGAAUUCCGAGUGUAGAGGUGAAAUUCGUAGAUAUUCGGAAGAACACCAGUGGCGAAGGCGACUCGCUGGACAAGUAUUGACGCUGAGGUGCGAAAGCGUGGGGAGCAAACAGGAUUAGAUACCCGAGUAGUCCCUGUCUCUUAUAC